AAUAGUUAUCGAUUACGAUUUCACGGCCCUAAGCUUCGGUAAGGGCCAUGAAACGAUAGGGUUGUUGAGGAAACAAGGCAGCCUCCCAUUGUGGAAAGUAAUCAGCCAUUGCAGCGU
rnacentral:ncRNA from 2 species